rnacentral:lncRNA from 1 species
AUAUAUAUUUUCAAGUUGCUAAGAAGAAAAGGGUGUUUUGGGCUAGCUAAGAUGUUAGAAAGAAAUUGAGUAGAAAAAGUAUAUAAAAAAUCGAAAGAUGGAAAAAGCUUCAAGCUGUGUAGCAAUGCUACUCUUCUUAAGACUUAAUUUGUCUCCACUGUUCAAACAAUUGGUGUGCAUUGGGUCAACGAAUAGCCUCUUAGGUAUCGUUUGGUUCGAGGAUAAGAAAAAAGUGGCUAUUCUAGGGAUAGGUAUAAAUUGAGAUAUAAGCGGGGAUUAGAUCAAUUUUGCGUUUGGAUGAAAAUUGGAUUAUUCAUGGGAAUAAAAAAAAUAGCGUUUGGUUAAGUAAGAUGGAAUAAGAAAGAUAGUGGGUUUUAUAAAUAAAAAAUAAUCAUAUUAUCUUCUUAUUAUAUUUGAAUUUAAAUUUUUAAAAUUUUAAAUAUAUAUUUUUAAAUUUAAAAUUUAAAAUUAUAAACUUUAAUUUUGAGAUUAUAAAUUAUAAAUUUUAGCAAUUUAAAUUUUUAAUUUUUAAAAUUUUAAAAUAAGAAUAGGGAUGGGAACAAUUAAUAAAAAUAAUUUAUUAUAAUAAAUUUAUAAAUUUUUUUAAAAUUCUACUUAAACUUAAAUUUAAUAAAAAGAAUUUAUUAUAAUAUUUAAAUAUAAUUUAUUAUAAAUUUUAUUAUAAUAUUUAAAUAUAAAUAAUAUGUAUUAAUAUAGUACAAUUAAUAAUUUUAUAAUAAAAAUAUUGUAUUAUAAUAUAUUAACAUAUUAUAUUUAUAAUUUAGUUUUAAUUCAAUUUAUAAUUUUAAUUAAGUUUGAAAUUAAGCAUUGGAAUAGUGCUAUUCCACCAAAAUGGUGGAAUAGCAAAUCCCUUGCUAUUCCGGGAUAACUGGGAAUAGAAAAAUUUGACCGGGAUAAAAUAUCCCGGCCAAAUUUCACCCCGUUUGGCGGAAUAGCGGGGAUAACUUUCGUUAUCCCCGCUUAUCCCCCCAACCAAACGGGGCCUUAGAAUACAAUGAAGUACAACCUUAAUUGCGUUUGCACACACAAAGUCGAGCCUUUGAGUUAAGUUGUCAAAAGAAAUAGAAAGAAAACAAGAAUGAAAUUAUUAUGAAUGGAAACUUAAACUUUUCAACUGUUUUCUUCUACACCAAACAACGUUAUGACCUUAUACAGACUACAAACGGGUGCUUCAUGAAGCGACACAUUAUGAACGGAUGUUUCAUAAAGUGACCUUUCAAUUGUGACUUUUCAUUUGAUCAUAAUUACCAAUUAGUUAUAUGAGUCAAAUUCAAUAAAUAUAAGAAUUAAUUUUAAUGAACAUAUGCACGAAGUGACACACCAUAAAGUUGUGUCUUUUCAUGCUAAUUCUUUCACCAAAGUCACCUCUUUUCACAUUCACUUACUAAGAGUUGCACCCUUUGAUUUAGAGUCGCAUCAACUUACUAAGGGUUGCAUUCAUUCACUAAAAAUCAAAGAAAUUUUAAAAAUUUCCUUACAAUUCUCCACCAAUUUUAAAAUACAUAAAAAUACAUCAAAAUACAAAAUAAAAUAAAAUAAAAAAUAAAAAAUAAAAAUUCUUCACAACUUGACAAAUUCAUAUGCAUAGGUGUAGGUGUAUUAAAACUUGAAUCUACACUUAGUGAAAACACAAAGUUAGUCAUAAUUGAAUAGUGGACAGACUUUGAACUAACAAUUAUUUUUGACUAACCGGACAUAUCUCACACAUAAAAAUUUAUAAUCAAUCGAGUGCUCUAUUUUAUUGCUGACACUUUUAUGGCCUUGUGUCUCCAUCCUGUUUAAUGAAUGUUGUCAGAGUCAAGCCCUUAACUACUAGAAGCGGCCGCACUUCACAUUCAUAUAGGUAGACUCUACCAAAAGUGUCCCGUAUUUAACAGUACUUCAGUAAAAUACUACUGUAGGUCUAUUAAGAGCUUUCUUUGCUCAACCUUCCCUUUUCAAUACAGACACUAAGCACUUUACUUAGGAUGAAAAUUUUAUAUUAUAGUGAUUGCAAU